rnacentral:lncRNA from 13 species
AGCCUCUGAAGUGCUGGAAUCACAGGCGUGAGCCACCGUGCCUGACCACUCGAAACCAUUCUGUAUACUGAAACAGGAGAAUCUGCCCUGACCAUCCCGUCUCAGUGUCUGCGUGUAGGAGAUAUGGUUGCCGAACGAAUCACAGAAAGAGACAGGUAUGAGCCUGUUUUCCUGAGGCUUCCAUCUUAGAGGAAGGCAGGCAGGUGGUCAUCGGCAGGGUAACACACUUUCCAGAUGAUGUCAGAGUGCCAGAGUGAAAUUCCCCUGGGAAGCAGCAGGCAGAAGGGUGUGGGCCUCUGGAGAGGGCUCUCCCCAAUGUAAGUCACAAAGCCUGACUGUCUGAGAUCACAUCCCACAGCUCUGUCACCCCUAGAUGACAGAUUCUCAUCAAAGCUGAGACAUGUGACCUGGUGCAGUGGCUCAUGCCUGUAAUCCCAGCACGCUGAGAGGCCAAGGUGGAUGGGUCACUUGAGGCCAGGAGUUCAAGGCCAGCCUGGCAAACAUGGCAAAACCUCAUCUCUAAAAAAUAAAAAUAAGGAAAGGAGAGGCAGAAUUUUGUCAAGUUCCUCCAGGAAGCAGUCCCACAAGGCCUCAGUACUGCUUACUACAGCUGAAGGAAGUGCUGGAGUGCAGUGGCACCAUCUCAGCUCACUGCAACCUCCACCUCCCAGGUUCAAGCAAUCCUCCCGCCUACAGGGACUAUUCACGUGUAGGAGGCAUGAAGGCCAGGGCACGUGAAAACACGCCUGCCACCCUGUACACCGUUCAGCAGGUCCGAGAAGGAGCUUACGUUUCCAGAGUAAGAGGAGAGGUGAACAAGCACACAAAAGGGGCUGCCUCCUCCCCGAGGCACGAGACAGGCAAGGCCAUCCUCACAGGCAAUGCUGAGUGGAAUCAACUUCUGGAUGUAGAGCACAGAAGCCACACCAUGUGUGGGUCCUUUGCACUGAUUGAACAAUUUCCAGAAAGCCACUGCUCCUCUCUUGUGUUACAAGAAGAAAAAAAACUUCUUCAUCUCACAUAUAAAGUCAAACUGGGAGUAUUAUUAACAUACCUGAAUGCUGACAUACCUGAGGCCAAUUCCUACCCCGAUGCUCUCAUAUUUGCAUCUGUGAUUUAUAACAGCACUAUUCUUUAAUUAAAUUUUAAUUGCACCAGGACUACACACAUAUAUUCUCUUUGAAAUUCAAGGGUAAUGCUGAAGUUCUCAUCAACCAUUCCUUCAAACCCCCCACCCCCUCCUCUCUUUUCCCCGGGCUCAGCUGUUGGUUUGUUUUCUACCUGUCGGACUGCUCUGUAAAAUUGUGUACAUGUAUUGGACCCUACAGCUUGAGAGGUUAGAGUAUGUGGUGUGGCUCUG